UGGCGGGUGUUCCGAAUGGUAAGGAACCUGGCUGUUAACCAGGCGGAUGCCCUGCAUCCAUGGGGGUUCGAGUCCCUCCCCGCCAGC
rnacentral:tRNA from 1 species